rnacentral:rRNA from 1 species
GCUUAACGCGAAGAACCUUACCUGGCCUUGACAUCCCAGGAACCCUGAAGAGAUUUGGGGGUGCCGCAAGGAACCUGGAGACAGGUGCUGCAUGGCUGUCGUCAGCUCGUGUCGUGAGGUGUUGGGUUAAGUCCCGCAACGAGCGCAACCCUUGUCCUUAGUUGCCAUCAUUCAGUUGGGAACUCUAAGGAGACCGCCGGUGACAAACCGGAGGAAGGUGGGGAUGACGUCAAGUCAUCAUGGCCUUUAUGGCCAGGGCUACACACGUGCUACAAUGGCAGGUACAGAGGGAGGCCAACCGGCGACGGGGAGCCAAUCCCAGAAAGCCUGUCUUAGUCCGGAUUGGAGUCUGCAACUCGACUCCAUGAAGCUGGAAUCGCUAGUAAUCGCAGAUCAGCAUUGCUGCGGUGAAUACGUUCCCGGGUCUUGUACACACCG